rnacentral:rRNA from 2 species
AGCUUGCUCCUUCGACGUUAGCGGCGGACGGGUGAGUAACACGUGGGCAACCUACCUUAUAGUUUGGGAUAACUCCGGGAAACCGGGGCUAAUACCGAAUAAUCUGUUUCACCUCAUGGUGAAACACUGAAAGACGGUUUCGGCUGUCGCUAUAGGAUGGGCCCGCGGCGCAUUAGCUAGUUGGUGAGGUAACGGCUCACCAAGGCGACGAUGCGUAGCCGACCUGAGAGGGUGAUCGGCCACACUGGGACUGAGACACGGCCCAGACUCCUACGGGAGGCAGCAGUAGGGAAUCUUCCACAAUGGGCGAAAGCCUGAUGGAGCAACGCCGCGUGAGUGAAGAAGGAUUUCGGUUCGUAAAACUCUGUUGUAAGGGAAGAACAAGUACAGUAGUAACUGGCUGUACCUUGACGGUACCUUAUUAGAAAGCCACGGCUAACUACGUGCCAGCAGCCGCGGUAAUACGUAGGUGGCAAGCGUUGUCCGGAAUUAUUGGGCGUAAAGCGCGCGCAGGUGGUUUCUUAAGUCUGAUGUGAAAGCCCACGGCUCAACCGUGGAGGGUCAUUGGAAACUGGGAGACUUGAGUGCAGAAGAGGAUAGUGGAAUUCCAAGUGUAGCGG